rnacentral:rRNA from 1 species
UGGGGAAUAUUGCACAAUGGGCGAAAGCCUGAUGCAGCAACGCCGCGUGAGGGACGACGGCCUUCGGGUUGUAAACCUCUUUAGCAAGGAAGAAGCGAAAGUGACGGUACUUGCAGAAAAAGCGCCGGCUAACUACGUGCCAGCAGCCGCGGUAAUACGUAGGGCGCAAGCGUUAUCCGGAAUUAUUGGGCGUAAAGAGCUCGUAGGCGGUUUGUCGCGUCUGCUGUGAAAACCCGAGGCUCAACCUCGGGCCUGCAGUGGGUACGGGCAGACUAGAGUGCGGUAGGGGAGAUUGGAACUCCUGGUGUAGCGGUGGAAUGCGCAGAUAUCAGGAAGAACACCGAUGGCGAAGGCAGAUCUCUGGGCCGUAACUGACGCUGAGGAGCGAAAAGGGUGGGGAGCAAAACAGGGCUUAGAUACCCUGGUAGUCCACCCCGUAAACGUUGGGAACUAGUUGUGGGUCCAUUCCACGGAUUCCGUGACGCAGCUAACGCAUUAAGUUCCCCGCCUGGGGAGUACGGCCGCAAGGCU